UACGAAGGGGGCUAGCGUUGCUCGGAAUGACUGGGCGUAAAGGGCGCGUAGGCGGCUUGCACCGUCAGAUGUGAAAUUCCUGGGCUUAACCUGGGGGCUGCAUUUGAUACGUGUGGGCUUGAGUGCGGAAGAGGGUCGUGGAAUUCCCAGUGUAGAGGUGAAAUGCGCAGAUAUCAGGAGGAACACCAAUGGCGAAGGCAGCACUCUGGGACGGUACUGACGCUGAGACGCGAAAGCGUGGGGAGCGAACAGG
rnacentral:rRNA from 1 species